UCGAAAAAUGUUUGUAAUUUU
rnacentral:piRNA from 1 species